CCUACGGGUGGCAGCAGUGGGGAAUAUUGGACAUUGGGGGCAACCCUGAUCCAGCCAUGCCGCGUGUGUGAAGAAGGCCCUCGGGUUGUAAAGCACUUUCAGUGAGGAAGAACGCCUGGUGGUUAAUACCCAUCAGGAAAGACAUCACUCACAGAAGAAGCACCGGCUAACUCCGUGCCAGCAGCCGCGGUAAUACGGAGGGUGCGAGCGUUAAUCGGAAUUACUGGGCGUAAAGCGCGCGUAGGUGGCUUGAUAAGCCGGUUGUGAAAGCCCCGGGCUCAACCUGGGAACGGCAUCCGGAACUGUCAAGCUAGAGUGCAGGAGAGGAAGGUAGAAUUCCCGGUGUAGCGGUGAAAUGCGUAGAGAUCGGGAGGAAUACCAGUGGCGAAGGCGGCCUUCUGGACUGACACUGACACUGAGGUGCGAAAGCGUGGGUAGCAAACAGGAUUAGAUACCCGUGUAGUC
rnacentral:rRNA from 1 species